rnacentral:rRNA from 1 species
UACGUAGGGGGCUAGCGUUGUCCGGAAUCAUUGGGCGUAAAGCGCGUGUAGGCGGUCCGGUAAGUCCGCUGUGAAAGUCGGGGGCUCAACCCUCGGAUGCCGGUGGAUACUGUCGGGCUUGAGUACGGAAGAGGCGAGUGGAAUUCCUGGUGUAGCGGUGAAAUGCGCAGAUAUCAGGAGGAACACCAAUUGCGAAGGCGGUCCCCUGGGCAUGUCCUGACGCUGAGGAGCGAAAGCUAGGGGAGCAAACAGG